UGGGGAAUAUUGCACAAUGGGCGCAAGCCUGAUGCAGCCAUGCCGCGUGUGUGAAGAAGGCCUUCGGGUUGUAAAGCACUUUCAGCGAGGAGGAAGGUGGUGGACUUAAUACGUUCAUCAAUUGACGUUACUCGCAGAAGAAGCACCGGCUAACUCCGUGCCAGCAGCCGCGGUAAUACGGGGGGUGCAAGCGUUAAUCGGAAUUACUGGGCGUAAAGCGCACGCAGGCGGUUUGUUAAGUCAGAUGUGAAAUCCCCGGGCUCAACCUGGGAACUGCAUUUGAAACUGGCAAGCUAGAGUCUCGUAGAGGGGGGUAGAAUUCCAGGUGUAGCGGUGAAAUGCGUAGAGAUCUGGAGGAAUACCGGUGGCGAAGGCGGCCCCCUGGACGAAGACUGACGCUCAGGUGCGAAAGCGUGGGGAGCAAACAGGAUUAGAUACCCUGGUAGUCCACGCUGUAAAACGAUGUCGAUUUUGGAGGUUGUGCCCUUGAGGCGUGGCUUCCGGAGCUAACGCGUUAAAUCGACCGCCUGGGGAGUACGGCC
rnacentral:rRNA from 1 species